rnacentral:rRNA from 1 species
UACGGAGGAUGCAAGCGUUAUCCGGAAUUAUUGGGCGUAAAGCGUCCGUAGGCGGUUUUUCAAGUCUGCUGUUAAAGCGUGCAGCUUAACUGCAUAUCGGCAGUGGAAACUGAGAGACUAGAGUGUAGUAGGGGUAGAGGGAAUUCCCAGUGUAGCGGUGAAAUGCGUAGAUAUUGGGAAGAACACCGGUGGCGAAAGCGCUCUACUGGGCUACAACUGACGCUGAUGGACGAAAGCUAGGGGAGCGAAA